rnacentral:rRNA from 1 species
AUGCCAGAGAAAGCACCUCCUGCGGCAGUGGGAAAUGCAACACUGCGAGAUCACACUGGAAAAAAACUUAAUUUGGAUGGGACUCUGAAGUUGCCUUACAGACAUCCAAAUUUUGGUCAGGGUAAGGAAACAACACCAAACAAUAUAAUCCAAAUGGAAGAAAAACAAGAGGAGGAGGUUAUGGAUCAGCAGUAUAGAAGAGGACCUCAUUUCCCUGUUGAGGCACGAAGAAAUGUGUUGACAGUAAAGCCAGCGAAGUUAAACAUCUCUGAAUUUGAAGGUCAGGACCCUGAAUCUUGGAUUCAGAAUUUGGAGCAGUAUUUUGCUGCAGCUAGGACUCCUAUUGAGCACAGAACUGAGCUGGCAGUUUCUUACCUUAAAGGACCUGCUGUACAAUGGUGGAGAGGAACAGGAUUUGCUCCUAGCAAUGUUCCUUGGCACAAGUUUUUCUCUUUCAUCUCUGACAGAUUUUCUCUGGAGUCUGUCUGUGAUAUUGUCAGCUCCUUCCAUGCAGCUCAGCAAACUACUACAGUUACUGCAUAUGUAGAGCAGUUUGAGCAGCUAAUGAACAUAAUGAGAAGAGAAAAUCCUGGAAUCCCUGAUGAUUAUUAUGUGUCCAGCUUUGUGGCAGGGCUUAACCCAUAUAUUAAGAGUCAUGUGGAGUGCUUCAAACCUAAGGAUAUGCAGACUGCAGUGUGGUAUGCUAGGAGGAUGGAGAAAGCCCAAGCCCCAGCUACUGUAGUGCAACUUAAACCUUAUGUUCCUCAACCUAGAAGACAAGUAGUGUUUGACCAGCCCAAAACCCCUAUUAACACUGUCACCCCAAACAGAAACACUAUUAUCCAGCAGGCAAAACAAAACCAAGUGUGUUAUAAGUGCAGAGAGCCUUGGGUGCCGGGUCAUAGACAGGUCUGCAAAAUGAGCCAGAGAGCUCAGAUCCAAGCACUGCAAGUUGAGGAAGCAGAAAAUCCUGAAACAAUCUAUGUUACAGAUUUUGAUGACCCUGAACUGGAAGCACUGGAGCAACCACCUGGAGAAGCAGUAUUGAAGGUGUCAAUGCAUGCUGCGAUGGGAAUAGGAGCAACCAAGAAUACCUUUAUAUUGUCUGUCAAGAUAGGCAAUGUAGUGGCCACAGCACUGGUGGACAGUGGUAGUACUUCUACCUUCAUCUCUCCUGAAGUAGCAAGUAGAUUACCUGUCAGUACAAGCCCUACACCCAGGAUAAAGGUAGUGGUUGCUAGUGGGGGAGUACUAUGGACUGAAUUUCAAGCAAAGGACUGCCCUUAUGAAAUUCAAGGCAAUCUCUUUACUGACAGUUUCAGAGUGCUCAAACUGAAAGGAUAUGACAUGAUUUUGGGAGUUGAUUGGCUCAGGAAGUAUAGUCCAAUACAAAUGGACUUUAUUAAAAUGGAAAUGAAAAUUUCUGACAGUUCUGGACAGUUUAUUACAUUUGUGGAUGAAACUGUCGACCCCUGUUGCUGA